rnacentral:rRNA from 1 species
GACGAACGCUGGCGGCGUGCUUAACACAUGCAAGUCGAGCGAUGAAGCUUCUUCGGAAGUGGAUUAGCGGCAGACGGGUGAGUAACACGUGGGUAACCUGCCUCAUAGAGGGGAAUAGCCUUCCGAAAGGAAGAUUAAUACCGCAUAAGAUUGUAAUAUCGCAUGAUAUAGCAAUUAAAGGAGUAAUCCGCUAUGAGAUGGACCCGCGUCGCAUUAGCUAGUUGGUGAGGUAACGGCUCACCAAGGCAACGAUGCGUAGCCGACCUGAGAGGGGGAUCGGCCACAUUGGGGCUGAGACACGGCCCAGACUCCUACGGGGGGCAGCAGUGGGGAAUAUUGCACAAUGGGGGAAACCCUGAUGCAGCAACGCCGCGUGAGUGAUGACGGUCUUCGGAUUGUAAAGCUCUGUCUUUAGGGACGAUAAUGACGGUACCUAAGGAGGAAGCCACGGCUAACUACGUGCCAGCAGCCGCCGUAACAC